AUACUGACCUGGCAGGGGAGAUACCAUGAUCACAAAAGUGGGUUUUCCCAAGGUGAAGCUUAUCCACUGCACUCCAGUCGUGCUGACCCCGUGAUUUCCCCAAAUGUGGGAAACUUGAUUGCAUUAUUUGUGGUAGUGGGGGACUGCGUUCACGCUUUCCCCUG
rfam:Tupaia chinensis contig60495, whole genome shotgun sequence.